rnacentral:rRNA from 1 species
AGAGUUUGAUCAUGGCUCAGGACGAACGCUGGCGGCGUGCUUAACACAUGCAAGUCGAACGAGGUCCACCGAGUAGCAAUACGAGGGAAGACCUAGUGGCGAACGGGUGCGUAACACGUGAGAAACCAACCCCGGUCUCUGGGAUAACAGGCGGAAACGCCUGCUAAUACCGGAUAACGUCGUUUCCUCGCAUGGGGAGAUGACGAAAGGGUUACCGGAUCGGGACGGUCUCGCGGCCUAUCAGCUUGUUGGGGAGGUAACGGCUCACCAAGGCAUCGACGGGUAGCUGGUCUGAGAGGAUGAUCAGCCACACUGGGACUGAGACACGGCCCAGACUCCUACGGGAGGCAGCAGUGGGGAAUCUUGCGCAAUGGGCGAAAGCCUGACGCAGCAACGCCGCGUGCGGGAUGAAGGCCUUCGGGUUGUAAACCGCUUUUAACAGGAACGAAAAUGACGGUACCUGUAGAAUAAGGUGCGGCCAACUACGUGCCAGCAGCCGCGGUGACACGUAGGCACCAAGCGUUGUCCGGAUUUAUUGGGCGUAAAGAGCUCGUAGGCGGUUCAGGUAGUCGGGUGUGAAAACUCUGGGCUUAACCCAGAGACGCCACCCGAUACUCCUGUGACUAGAGUUCGGUAGGGGAGCGGGGAAUUCCUAGUGUAGCGGUGAAAUGCGCAGAUAUUAGGAGGAACACCGGUGGCGAAGGCGCCGCUCUGGGCCGAUACUGACGCUGAGGAGCGAAAGCGUGGGUAGCA